rnacentral:tRNA from 1 species
GGUUGUGGCUCAGUGGUAGAGCAUUUGCCCCACAUGUGUGAAGUACUGGGUUUAAUCCUCAGCACCA